GUGGCGAACAGUUUCAAGGUGCAGAUGAGCUUCUUCUUUUGUUAUUGAUCCCACCUGGUGAGAUUUGUACAACUCCACUUUGUGGCAUAGGAAGGUGUAUAGGAUCCUUGCUAAUCUAUUCAGGUGGGGGAAGACAUUGAAGCAAAACAGCAAAAAAAAUGUAUAUGCUCUCCCCGGUAAUUUUGUUAUGGGAGGUUGUAUGACAAGGGUGACAAUGAUGACAUGUGGAGC